UCUUGAAGAAAUUGAAAAUAGAGUUUUGAAACAUUCUGAACAGUUUAAAUUGAAAGAAGCUGCUCUUUUGGAUAUGCUAGAGCCUGCUCCUUUUCAGUCACUUUCUGAUUGGGCCUUACAGAUUGUUUCUUUGAGGCAAAAAACACAAGAGGUACUGAAGAACACUGCUGUUUUAA